rnacentral:lncRNA from 1 species
UGGAAGGGAGAGAUAUCUUGUAAACAUGCAAAUAAAUCAAUAAACAAGAUAAUUUCAAAUAGAAGUAACAGCUCCAAAGACAAAGUAAGUGAUGGAGGUGGAGGAGGCUCCUGGUGGACAGGAUUUUCCUGAUUCUAGUUCCAUGUUUCUCGUUUUUUUUUUUUUUCUUGAUUACUGAGACAGACAGAUGUUCAGUGUAGUCUAGUGAAAAGCUUCUGGAUGGAGUCACGCCAAGUGCUGAUAUUUACCUCCAGGAAGAGAUUCUGGAUUGAAAGGGAAAAUUUACCUCAAUUUCUAUCUAUUUUAUUUUUUUGAGGCGGAGUCUCACUUUGUCACCCAGGCUGGAGUGCAGUGGCGCAAUCAUGGCUCACUGCAGCCUUGGCUCAAGCAAUCCUUCUGUCUCACCUUCUUGAGUAGCUGGGACUACAGGUGUGCACCAGUAUGCUAGGCUAAUGUUUUGACUUUUUUAUAGAGAUGGGCAGCAAUUUGGACACCUGGAGACAAUGAGAGGGCACUAGAUACCCAAGAGUAAUAGCUAUCAAACUCUAGCAUGUAUCAGAAUUAAACAUAAUAAUUAAUUAAGUUCCGUAGUAUAAUAAGUGAUAUGGGAAAGGGAGAAGUGGGCAAGGAGGAUCAUGAGUGUCUCAGGUUGGGGUGAGUUACUUUGAAUACAAGGAUCAAGGCAGGCCUCAUGACAUGGGUGACAGUUGAAGAGUGAUGGAGUUAGCUCUACAGAUUCCUGGAGGGAGGUGUUUCAGGCAGAGGAAACAGGCAGUUCCAAAGUGAGGGUACAGCUGGCAUGUUCGGGAAUGGAAGGCGGCCAGCGUGGCUGGAGCAGAGCAGAUGAGAGGGAGAGAAGUCAGAGAUAAAGCCAGAGGGGCAAGGCUGAGGAUCAGAUCAUGCGGGCCUUAGGGCCACGCUGGGCUUUGCUUCUACUCUGACAGAGUGGGGUAGCCCUACAAGGCCUUCAGCAGCCGAGAUCUGAUCUGACUUCUGUUUUCAAAGGACUUCUCCGAGUGCUGUAGACUAAAAUUCAAGUUGAAAGCCCCUCACUGACUAAGUGGACCCCCUCUUGCUCAAGAGGACCCCAGAGAAAACUAAAAUCUUAAUUCCUGGCCACGACAGGAUGAGAGGUCGAACACACAUUAUUAUACCCCCUCUUUUGUGAAAUUUAGGUAUCACAACUGAUUGACAUUAAUGUUAAAGCAGAGGCAAUAAGACUAAUAAAAUGGGCUGGGCACAGUACCUCACACCUGUAAUCCCAGCACUUUGGGAGGCCAAGACGGGUGGAUCACUUGAGGUCAGGAGUUCGAGACCAGCCUGAGCAACAUGGCAAAACCCUGUCUCUACUAAAAAUACAAAAAUUAGCCUGGCGUGCUGAU